CACGUAGGGGGCGAGCGUUGUCCGGAAUCAUUGGGCGUAAAGAGCUCGUAGGCGGCUCAGUAAGUCGGGUGUGAAACCCCCAGGCUCAACCUGGGGACGCCACCCGAUACUGCUGUGGCUAGAGUCCAGUAGGGGAGUGUGGAAUUCCCGGUGUAGCGGUGAAAUGCGCAGAUAUCGGGAGGAACACCAGCGGCGAAGGCGGCACUCUGGGCUGGAACUGACGCUGAGGAGCGAAAGCGUGGGUAGCAAACAGG
rnacentral:rRNA from 3 species